rnacentral:rRNA from 1 species
AACGAACGCUGGCGGCAGGCUUAACACAUGCAAGUCGAACGCAUCGCAAGAUGAGUGGCAGACGGGUGAGUAACGCGUGGGAACAUACCCUUUUCUACGGAAUAGCUCUGGGAAACUGGAAUUAAUACCGUAUAUGCCCUACGGGGGAAAGAUGUAUCGGGGAAGGAUUGGCCCGCGUUGGAUUAGCUAGUUGGUGGGGUAAAGGCCUACCAAGGCGACGAUCCAUAGCUGGUCUGAGAGGAUGAUCAGCCACAUUGGGACUGAGACACGGCCCAAACUCCUACGGGAGGCAGCAGUGGGGAAUAUUGGACAAUGGGCGCAAGCCUGAUCCAGCCAUGCCGCGUGAGUGAUGAAGGCCUUAGGGUUGUAAAGCUCUUUCACCGAUGAAGAUAAUGACGGUAGUCGGAGAAGAAGCCCCGGCUAACUUCGUGCCAGCCGCCGCUGUAACAC